rnacentral:lncRNA from 1 species
UUUUUUUUUUUUUUGGUCUUUUUGCCUUUUCUAGGGCCACUCUUGUGGCAUAUGGAGGUUCCCAGGCUAGGGGUCUAAUCGGAGCUGUAGCCGCCAGCCUACGCCAGAGCCACAGCAACGUGGGAUCCGAACCGCGUGUCCAACCUACACCACAGCUCACAGCAACGCCGGAUCCUUAACCCACUGAACAAGGCCAGAGGAUCGAACCCGCAACCUCAUGGUUCCUAGUCGGAUCAGUUAACCACUGAGCCACAAAGGGAACUCCCUGGUGAGCAGUAUUAACAUCUACACAUGGACACAGUUAAGAAUGAGCACAUUCAAUUUGCUAAUUAAAUGAGAUACUAAAAGCGUGGCAUUACUUACCUAUCUAAUGUGGUAAUCACUGCACAUCUGUGGCUAUUUAUGUUUAAAUUAAAACUGAAUACUAUUUAAAAUGCAGUUCCUUGGUCACAGGAGUUACAUUUCAAGUACAAAACAGCCAAAUGUGGCCUGUGGCUACUCCACAGGACCACUCAGAUGUGAAAGAUUUCCAUCACCACAGAACGUUCUAUGGGACAAGGCUGGGCUAGCCCCCAGUUGGUCUCCUUCCUUUGUGUGCCAUCAUUCUGUUAACUACCCACACGUGGCUUCUGUGUUAAUAGAAAUGCUCUGACAAUGUGCUGGCCAUUGCUCAGAAGUUUUCCACGUGAAGAGCAUCUGCAAGCUAGACAUUCAUAAGGCAGAGAAUGCAGGUACUGGGUUGGGGGAAGGUCUGAUAGGUUUUCAGGUUAGCAAGGCUAAUGAUACAGGGAUAGACUAAAGAAGGAUAGAUAGACGUACAGGAGGUCAUGUGCAAGAAUCGUGGGUCAAAAAGGGAUAAAAAUGGUUGUCAAAGCAAAUCUGUAAGGGAUAUGUGAUGAUUAAAUAAGUUGACAAUGCAGGGAGAACUGAUGUUACAUGCUUUAACAAAUGUCUUCUGCAGAAUAAGUGGACUAACUAAACUGUAUCUCUACUGAACACAGAAUAAAAGGUGAUGGGAUUAAAUUUAUUUUAGGAGUUCCCAUUGUGGCUCAGCUGUUAAUGAAUCUGACUAGCAUCUAUGAGGAUGCUGGCUCAAUCCCUGGUCUCACUCAGGGGGUUAAAGGACCUGGUGUUGCCAUAAGCUGCAGUGUAGGUAGCAGAUGUGGCUUGGAUCCCACAUUGCUGUGGCUGUGGCACAGGCCAGCAGCUGUAGCUCGGAUUUGACCCCUGGGUAAGUUUACCUAUUAUAUAAAAACUCUUCUAUUCUACUAGUUGUAUUAGGUGCUUAUUUUUUUUUUAAUUUAAAGACCCUGUCACUGUGUUAGAAUGUGCAAUGAAACAAUAUGCACAGUGAUUUGACAAGACAGUUGUUAAAUGUAAAAUCAGGCUCAAUAAUAAAACCAUCUAAAAAAAACUAUACCAGUGAGCUGCCUUCCAAACUCUUCAGGCUACUAAGAGUUCACAGUUAUCUCUAGAUUAAAAAUGACUUGUGAUCAUUCCAGUUUUUUAAAAAGGGACGGACUGGACUUUGGGAUUGGCAUAUGCACACUGAGGUAUAUGGAAUGACUGGCCAACAGAGAACUUCAGUAUAGCACAGAGAACCCUACCCAAUGUUGUGUGAUAAUCUACGUAGGAAAAGAAUCUGAAAGAGAAUGGUUAUGUCUACCUGUAUAACUGAAUCACUUUGUUGUACAGCAGAAAUUAUCGCAAUGUUGUAAGUCAUCUAUACUUCAAUAAAACUUAAAAAGGCAACAAUAUUCAUUUCAAUAACUCUACUACAUAAUAUUUUAAGCAUUUCCCCCAUGUCAUUAGAUAAAAUGUAUAUUGGAAAUUUCCAAAUGUUGUUAGACAACUUACCUCCAAAAUAUUGCAUCUCUUUCUCUUCUUUGAAUUACUAAGCUGAUCUUUUGCGCCCAAAAUGAGUGAGAUUAAAAAAUAAAAUGUGGAUAAUAUGAAGCAAUUAUAUAUGACCUUUCCAAAUGUUUGUUUCUUUGUUGACUUCUGGGGAUUGUAAUAGCCAUCAAAUUACAUUUACUUAUGAGUGAACAGAAUGAUAUUAACAUGGGUUCUGUAAAUAUCUAAACAUUGGCUUUUAUGACAAACAUUGAAGUUUCAAAGACAUACAGCCUUUGGAAAAGAGGAACAAAAUAUACUGAUGUCAUUUAUUUUAGGUUUGCUCUCUUUGAGAGUUUCUCUUUAGUCAUGGAACGACAUGCAUAUAAUACUGAAUAAAGGCUUUCAUAAUGGGAUCUUGUAUUUUUUCAAACAAUAUUUCAUCCAAAGAAUCAAAUCUAAUCUUUUACAAAACAAUUGUUUACCAAACAAGACAGUUUUAAUCAUUAAUUUACUAAAUUAAAUCAUUCACUAAUCAAUGGUCACAAUCACUCCCUGAAAGCAGAGGAGCUCAUCAAUUCUCACUUAAAAGAAAACUAGAGUUCAUGAAACAAUCGAUAAGUAUUGGCGUGAUGGGGUGUGGCACUGCCAUGCUAGUAUAGCUAGGUGUUAGCACAGGUAUUGAAUACCUGAUCCCAACCUGCAUGAAACUUACCUCUAAAUGAGCAGUCGAAGAAAAACAGAGAAUAGAGAAGACUUACCUUCUGGGUUCUGUUUGAACCUGUUUAGAACACAAAGAGGAAAUCAAUCUGGAUUAUCUGGAACUGUUGAAUAAGCUUUGCAGUCAGGGAAAUCUGAGUUCUGCAAGAAUGAACAUGAGGAUUUAGAGUCAGGACGUGAAGAUUUAGAAGUAGAUAGGAUAUCAUCGCUGAAAACUUAGAGUCUGGUAGGAAAGAAAUAUACAAAGCAAUGCCUUGAAUAUACUGUUCUAUGUCGAACAGCACAGGAGGGCAGAGGGGCACUCUGGGGUGUUGGCUGUGAAGCCUGGGCUGAGCUCUAAAGAAUGAGUUAAAAAAAAAGUUAACCCAUUAGGGAAAACAGGACAGGGCUGCAGGCAGAGGGAGCAGCAUGAAGGAAGUCACAGAGGGGUGAGGUGGCCCUGAGUAUAUAAAGAACUGUCAAUUACUUACUACAGAAUAAACGCAGGCAAAGGCUUGUGUCUGUCCACAUCUUGCUCUUCAGGGAAAGGGCAGCAGGUCAGUGAGGAGCCUGGGUCCAGCUGGGGAUGAAUCUUGGUCGGGGCUGGGGGACUGAGACUCUACAGGGUGACAGGGGACUUGGUGUCCUAACUUCUCCUUGACCCAGUCCCAUCAUGAACUCACACCAUAUUCUAUUUAUCUCAGGUUUUCGGUUGAGAAAGCCUGAGAUGAAAAGUCUUGCUGGUGCGAAUGGGGGGACCACACAGAGGACCCAGGGGCAGUUUUCCCAGGUGGGACAAGUGCAAAGACAGGGGGUGCAGAGAGGGGCCAAACUUCCCUGGGAAGGAGGAUAGUCUGUGCUGGAGCCUAAUGUGGUCCCCUGUAUGUGACAAUAAGCAGAGUGAGACAAGGCAGGGACACAAGAAAGUCCCACCUAAUUUCAGUAAUGUCAAGAAUCCUGGCUUGAGUGUUCAAACUUGGGUGCUUUGAUUCAGCAUCCCUGGGGCCCAGGAAAAUCAAAACCUGAAACUGAAACUGUUAAGGUCCCCUGUGCCUGCUUUGGAUGCUGCAGAGCAGAACCUCCCCACUGUGCACCAGGGCAGGUGGACUACAGGUGGGCCAAAGGUUGUGCUAUGAAAUGCUGGUUCUCUUUGUCUUUGGCCUGGAGGACUGCAAAGGACUCCCACCUGUUCUUUCUGCUGCAAUUGGUGCUCCUUUGCAAUCUGUGAUGGUUUAUUGUAUGCAUCCAUUUGACUGGCCUAAGGGAUGCCCAGGUAGCUGGGAAAACAUUAUUUCUGGGUGUGUCUGUGAGGAUGUUUCUGAAAGAGAUUAGUACUGGAUUCAGUAGGUUGGGUAAAGCAAUGCGCCCUGACCAAUGCAAUGGGCACCACCUAAUCCAGUGGGGGGCCCAAAUAAUCAAGGAGAAGGGAGGGAGAUUCUUCUCUUUCUUGAGCUGAAGCAACCAUCCUCUUUUGCCCUUAGACAUCAAAUCCCCUGAUUCUCCUUUGAACCCAGGAACUGGAGCCUAAUAUGGUCCCCUGCACGUGACAAUAAGCAGAGCGAGCCAAGGCUGGGACACAAGGAAGUUCCACCUAAUUUCAGUAAUGUCAAGAAUCCUGGCUUGAGUGUUCAAACUUGGGUGCUUUGAUUCAGCAUCUCUGGGCCCCAGGAAAAUCAAAACCUUUUGGUUGUUAGGCUGUGGGACUUGGAGUUACACCCCCAGCUUUCCCGGGUCUCUGGCUUGCCAGUGACAGAGCUGAGCCUAUAGUCAUGCAUUUCCUCUUCAACAUACCUCUAUAUAUGCAUUGGUUCUGUUUCUCUGGAGAACCUUGACUAAUACAUACUCUAUAUUCAACUAUCCACUAUAUUCCCUCCACUGCGGCUGUGCCGAGUUAUUGCUCCCGCCUGCAAGGAGUCUGCGAGCAUCACCCUGUCAGGAAUUAGAGGAAAGGAGUAGAUUCCAGGUACUACUGAGGAUGACUAGGACUGUUAUCCCCUCCAGAAGACUCCACAUUUCUGGGAAAAGGAGGAGAUGGUGAUGUCCGGGCUGAGCAUCCUGAUGACGGACCAUGAAGCCUGAUGGAGGAGCUGGACCAUCAUGGGAUCCAGCGGAUUGAUUCAGCGCUGGUCAGCAGUAACUCUGAAUCAUGCAAGGUGGUCUUAGAGCAUCUCUGAAAUCCAAGUCAAAACCUCAGUCUAGACAAGUAGCAAUGAUCUUGAGACUGAGCCUCAAGAUCCAGGGGCUGGAUCAUGUUGAAAGAAUUGACAAAAGGGUGAUGGCUCCAUGGGUCCCCUGGGUGUAAAUCUGGUUAGAUUUACUCCAAAAUGCUUCAAUGCCCUUGAUUCAACUCAGGCGGGCCUCAUUCCUGUCUGGGAAUCAACUUCAGCAGGUACUUUGAUGGUUUAAUAAACAUAUAUAUGUCAGGCAUUGUGUUAGCUGCUGUGAAUGCAAAAUGUACGGUAGUUUGUAUCCUGAAAAUGGACUGCUUCACAGGAUUUUAGACUGCUGACUGAGGAACUAUCCAGUGCCAGGGACACUGGAGCAGGGAGGUGAGUCCCAGGAUAGGAUUUCCUCCAUCCUCAUUUUGAAGAGAGGUAUUUUAAGCAGGAUCUCAGCCACCUUCAUUUGGGUCAGCUUGCUGAGAUGUGGAUCCAAGGCUUCUCUAGGACUGGGUGGUGGGGGGGACUGGGCCUAGUCUGGGCCUAGGGACUAAAGGUGCAUCCUAGUGAUUAGAAUCUUGAAAUUUGCUGAUAAAUGGUUUCUUUCCAUUUCUGCUCUUUAAGAUGUGCUCAGAGCUGAGACACACUCUUGAGUAGUAGUCCAGAGGUAAUUUUAGAAAUAUAGCCCAAUAGCAGAAGUUAAUGAAAAAACACCUUCAGGUCAGCGUGAAGUACUCAAAAUGUGAGCUUUAUGAAAAGCCAGACUCAGGCUGGAAGAUGGCCCCUUUGCAUCGAGGUGGGGGCAGCUUGCUCAGUGUCCUUCUGGCCCCCAAAUGCCCUGUGUCAUCUGUCUUCUCAAUACAAGAUGGCAACUUUUCUGAAAUCAAACUAGGUGGCAGUCCCCCAAAUUCAAGCCUCCUGACAAAACUGUUGAAAGCAGAGCAAAGUGAUCCCUGAAAUACAGCAAUGUCUUGCACCGUUGCUGUGAAUACACUGGAAAGUGAAAUGUUAUACAAAUCUGACAACUUUUAAAUUUAGAAUGCAUGUGAUAUUUGCGUGGGCUAAACCUCCAUCAGGCAGAAGAUGCCUGGGGAGGCUCUAAAAUCCAGUACCAGUAUUUUCUCUUCUCUGAAUUGGGAAAAGGAAUUACACCACUAUUUGAAUCACCUUCCACAUACAAAGUAAUGUAUCCUUUAAAUAUAUAAUAGUAUGCCAAGUUUGCAUUUAGGAUAUAGUUUGGAAAUGCAAACUUUCUCUGUGUAAAAAGUAAUCAAUUAUAAAUAUACAAUAACCUAACUGAAUGCAAAAUGAAGACGCUGAUAAGGGGGGACUAAUUUUCAUGGGCAAAAGAGGGGGAAAAAAAGGUAGAGUGAGAGAUGAUUUAUCAGCCUCCUCUCAUUCACACAAUCAGCUGGAUAAACCUUGUGAAUUAUGUUUGCCUUGGCCCUUGCAUGCACCCAGAGUACAGGUGGGGUGGGUGGGUUUUAAAUCUCUUAGCAACAGUGUUUCCGCUGUAAUUAAUAUGCCACAUCAAUCCAGUGCUUCUCUUGUUAGGCGUUUGUUCCUUUUUUUUUUCAUUACUCAAUGAAUUUAUUACAUUUAUAGUUGUACAAUGAUCAUCACACCUCAAUUUUAUAGCAUUUCCACCCCAAACCCCCAGCGCAUCCCCCCACUCCCCAACCUGUCCCCUUUGGAAACCAUGUUUUCCAAAGUCUGUUAGUAUCUGUUCUGCAAAGAAGUUCAUUGUGUCCUUUUUUCAGAUUCCACAUGUCAGUGAUAGCAUUUGAUGUUGGUGUCUCAUUGACUGACUGACUUCACUUAGCAUGAUAAUUUCUAGGUCCAUCCAUGUUGCUAAAAAUGUUAGGCGUUCAUUCCUAAUGUCUUUUACUGAUGUGAUAGGGAACCAUUCAUCGUUCCAUUAGCGGGAACUUUGAAGGAUGUCCAGCCAGCAGAUUGUGCAGGGCUGGAAACUAUUUCUUUGACAAGAGACCUAACAAAAAAUAAGGGAAGACGGGCCUCAUUAGCAUCAUGUUUUUUAAAGGUCUUAAAAAAAAAAAAA